rnacentral:rRNA from 1 species
GCAUAUCAAUAAGCGGAGGAAAAGAAAAUAACAAUGAUUCCCCUAGUAACUGCGAGUGAAGAGGGACAAGCUCAAAUUUUAAAUCCGUCGGGUUUCACCUGAUCGAGUUGUAAUUUGAAGAGGCGUUUUCCGCGUUUUUGAUCAGUCCAAGUCCUUUGGGAUAGGGCAUCAUGGAGGGUGAGAAUCCCGUUCGGCUGAUCAGAUUCGCUUUACGAUACGUCAUCUAAGAGUCAAGUUGUUUGGGAAUGCAGCUUAAAAUGGGAGGUAAAUUUCUCCUAAGGCUAAAUAACGGCGAGAGACCGAUAGCGAACAAGUACCGUGAGGGAAAGAUGAAAAGAACUUUGAAAAGAGAGUUAAACAGUACGUGAAAUUGUUGAAAGGGAAACGAUUGAAGCCAGUCGUACCGGUGGGUAAUCAGCCUUUCGGCGUGAUUAUGUGGAGCGUGAGGAGUUAAACGCCCUCAUGCCUGCAUAUUCGUGUUCUUUGGGUGUACUUACCCGCAUGGUAGGUUAACAUCAAUUUCGAACGUCAUAAAAUGGUUGGAGGAAUGUAGCUUCGAUCUCGUAUUGAAGUGUUAUAGCCUUCGGCAGAUGUGAUGAUCGGGAUUGAGGAUUGCAACGGAUACCCCUCGGGCUACCCGUCUGAUCUCUGAAAGUUACUCUGGUGCCGAAAGCUCGCUUACGGUCAUCAAAGUUGACGUUCAACAGGUUAGAACGGGAUAAAUUCGUUAAGGAUGUUGACGUAAUGGCUUUAAACGAC